CUGGGUAUCGAAUUUCGAUCCGGUUAUGGCACCGACCGAAAUGCUCCGAUCCUAUCGAAUAUCAAAACAUUAAUAGUUUUCCGGUGCCGUAUUUCGAUACUCAAUGAAAUUAAUCCCAGCCUGUCUGCCAAUAGUAAUAUCGUUUUCAACUGUUUCUGGGUAAAUGCUACGUCUGUGAGCCAAUAAUCAUGUGGUAUUAGUGGUUACGAAUCUUAAGUCGCUGGUGAUUGGCUGUCACAUUUUCGGAGCGCGAGACACGUUUGUCUACUUGACCGUCACUAUAUCAAACUUUGUCAGCUGUAACGUCACUCUUGACGUUGUCAUAAUGCCUAAAAGGUCCAAAGUGUGGCUCCACUUCGCUCAGGUGGACACCAAUAGAGCCAGAUGCUCUAUUUGCCAAAAAGUCGUGCUGGCGAAAGACGGCAACACAUCAAAUCUUGCGAAACAUUUAAUAAUGCACAAGAUUAACCUCCGGUCGGACAGCUGCUCCGUGUUUGACUGUAAAGCUAAGAAAGCUAAGAAGGACGACGGGACUUCAGUCACCAGACCGCCUCCUUCUUCCACAUCGAAUUCUCUAUCGGCUAGUGACCGGGAUUCAGCUGGGAGUUUGGCCAACAACAUUACAGCAGGUGGACGAUGGGGACAGCUCAUGCGAUGAAGCCAGUUCAGCUGCAACAGAGAAACUGACAAAGCUGUCUGCGCUGGAGGAGUUGUUCAUGGAUGAGGACAUAGAGGUGGGAGAGCGGAAUUACCCAAUUGCGAGCCAAAGGGAUAAGGUGAAAGAAGAAAUCCGCCACUACAGAGGUUUGCCAUCAACUUUGUCAACUGUUGAUCCAGUGACCUGGUGGUGGGACAUGAGGGGCACCCUACCAGCACUAUCAAGCUUGGCUGCAAGGUACCUCUGUGUUCAGGCGUCAGCGACACCAUCAGAGCGCACCUUUUCAACGGCUGGCGACACAAUCAGCCAGGAGCGGGCCUGUCUGUUGCCAGACAAGGCAGACAUGCUGAUCUUUCUAAAAAAAAACUGUUGAGUGACUGUUGUCAUGCAAUUUGGACUCUUUGGACAUUUGUUUGCAUCAGUUUUUCUCUUUGUUAUUAUUAUUGCAUUGUUAUUUAUUCAUUCCUUAUUAUAACUGAGUGCCCUCGACUAGGCCCCCAUGCCUAGAUCUCUGUGUAUUUAUGUAUGUGUGUAUUUAUGCAUGUGCUCUCUCUCUCUCUCUCUCUCGCUCUCUCGCUCUCUCUCAGUUCUGAAAAAUAAAUUCUAUAAUUCCUAAUUUGUUUUUGUUGUGGAAAUUGAUUUUUAAAACAUCAGGUAUCGAAAAAAGUAUCGUAUCGAACCGGUAUCGAAACCAAGGUAUCGAAAUUAGCACCGUAUCGAAAUAUUUUGAACGAUACCCACCCCUACUCCUCU